rnacentral:rRNA from 1 species
CCUANGGGUGGCAGCAGUGGGGAAUAUUGGACAAUGGGGGAAACCCUGAUCCAGCGACGCCGCGUGGGUGAAGAAGGCCUGCGGGUUGUAAAGCCCUUUCGAUGGGGACGAAAGCUAUUGACCUAAUACGUCGGUAGUUUGACUUAACCCAUAUAAGAAGCACCGGCUAACUCUGUGCCAGCAGCCGCGGUAAUACAGAGGGUGCGAGCGUUAAUCGGAAUUACUGGGCGUAAAGCGCACGUAGGCGGCUUGAUAAGUCAGAUGUGAAAGCCCUGGGCUUAACCCGGGAAGUGCAUUUGAAACUGUCAGGCUUGAGUAGGGGAGAGGGAAGUGGAAUUCCUGGUGUAGAGGUGAAAUUCGUAGAUAUCAGGAGGAACACCGGUGGCGAAGGCGACUUCCUGGCCCUAUACUGACGCUGAGACGCGAGAGCGUGGGUAGCAAACAGGAUUAGAUACCCCGNUANUC